ACCACCAUUUCUUUUUCUUUUUCUUUUUCUUUUUUUUCUUUUUUCCCUUCUUCUUCCCCGAAACACACACGACACACACAGUUAUUUUUCUUCCCUCCGGCCGUCCCUCUCUCUCUCCCGUGUUUUUGAAUUCCGGCCACCCAUAGCCCUUACGCGCCAGCCACCAAGGAAGCCCGCCACCUCGCGAGCUUGGCCGCCAAGUUUCACGGCUAGCCGCCGCCGGACGCGCGCCGAUCGGGCCGGAGAAGCCGCCGGCCGGCCAAGUUUCUCUCUCCUCUUUUCUUGUGUUUUCCGGCCAGCCCACUCCCAAUUGAGCCUCCUAUCCCCCUAUUUUGGGUCCUCUGAAUCCAAAAAUGGCCUCCAAUCCCAGAAAUUCGAAGCGGUUUGCGAGAUAUGGGGAAGUGAACACCGGCCGAACCUUUCCGACCAAAUUCCGGCCACCUCCGGCGGAAUUGGGGUCGACGGAGACCGGAUUGGUGAUCCUCGUUCCACGAGCUUCGAUUCGGAGCACCGGUGAGUCGUAGAAUUGAUCCCGUGGUGGAUCAUGGGUUAAUUACGUGCUCCAGGUCCAGGUUGGAGACGUUGAUUGUCCGGGGCGAGCCCAACGUCUCAGUUCGUUGCCGAAGGUUCAAGCAGUUUUUCUUCCCUUUUUCCUCUCGACCUUGUAUUGCUUCUUUAUCUGUCGUUUUAUAAAUUCCUCAUGUAUCUGUAUAAUGCUCUGUAUACUGUAUUGGACGUGUGGUUGUUCUUUAUGCACUGGG